AGCUUUGCGCAGUGGCAGUAUCGUAGCCAAUGAGGUUUAUCUGAGGCGCGAUUAUUGCUAAUUAAAGUUUCCCUUCCCUACAUCAAACCAAAAAUAUUUUUAGUUAUUUUUUUUGUAGGCUCUACUA
rnacentral:snRNA from 1 species